CAGAGCGAGGCACGGUGGCCGGGACAGCUGAGAGCCCGUGCCUUCAUCUGUGAGCAGGAGGUAGAGAGGGACUAGAAAGAACAUGAAUCUUUGGAAACCCUAAAGCUAUCACCCAGCAACAGAGCCUCAUGAAGUAUUCUAUACAAAGAAACAAAACAGAAAAAAAGCCUAAAAGGCUGACAUUCUAUUUCUGUGAGCGGUGGCAGAACCCUGAGUACCGAGCUGAAAGGUUGGAAAAGAAUUCCUCUGUGUUAGCGCUCCCGCCCCACUCUCCCCUGGAGGCUGAGCUGCUGGAUCAAAGGGGCUGAAGUGGGUGCCACUCCAUGGAAUUAAGAUCUGAGAUGCCGGAUAAACCCAGCCGGCACUUCUGGGUCCUCCUCCCACAUCUCGUCACCUAGGCAACCGGGAGGGGCCUUGGGAGCCUGUUCCUCCGUCCCCGCCCCUCGCCACCCACUCAGACGCCCAGGCUCACGUUCCUAUCCCUAGGUCUCUGCCCACAGCUUUUCUAAGUCUCAGCUUCUCGAGAGUUCCAUCCCCUCAGCUCCCUUUUCUGAACAUGGAAACCAGAUUCCAAGCAGAGGGGCCCCGAUUCACUAAAAUGACCCCAGUUUGCAUGAAG